rnacentral:rRNA from 1 species
GACGAACGCUGGCGGCGUGCUUAACACAUGCAAGUCGAACGAAGAGCGAUGGAAGCUUGCUUCUAUCAAUCUUAGUGGCGAACGGGUGAGUAACGCGUAAUCAACCUGCCCUUCAGAGGGGGACAACAGUUGGAAACGACUGCUAAUACCGCAUACGAUCCAAUCUCGGCAUCGAGACUGGAUGAAAGGUGGCCUCUAUUUAUAAGCUAUCACUGAAGGAGGGGAUUGCGUCUGAUUAGCUAGUUGGAGGGGUAACGGCCCACCAAGGCGAUGAUCAGUAGCCGGUCUGAGAGGAUGAACGGCCACAUUGGGACUGAGACACGGCCCAGACUCCUACGGGAGGCAGCAGUGGGGAAUCUUCCGCAAUGGACGAAAGUCUGACGGAGCAACGCCGCGUGAGUGAUGACGGCCUUCGGGUUGUAAAGCUCUGUUAAUCGGGACGAAUGGUUCUUGUGCAAAUAGUGCG